GGUUGUAUAGUGUAGUGGUUAUCACUCCGGAUUUUGAUGUUAUUGAAAUAUUCCGGCGACCCCGGUUCGAACCCGGGUACGACCU
rnacentral:tRNA from 1 species